UGAAACAAGAUACUAGGGAGUUUAGUAAAGCUAUUUGGAGCAUUUUUGGUGGAACUAGAAGCCCUAGAUCAUCAAGAUUUUUCUUAUCUUCAUCCUUAUUUCCUAGCAAAAAUUGUCGAGAAACGAACCGCGAACAAGGAAUCGAAUAGAGAUUUGCACGGAACGCAAAUCUGAGAUUAGUGGACGGCUUUGGGAAAAUAUGUUCAAGUGGUUAUCAAGAACGCAAGCUUUUGUGAUGUCAUCCGUUUUUAGUGUUAUGUUUUGAACUUUGAAUAAUGUAGUUAAAGUUGU